rnacentral:tRNA from 1 species
GGGGCUGUGCCCGAAUAUUAGGGACCACUUUGAUAGAGUGACUUAUGGGGGUUUAAGUCCCCCCAACCCCU